rnacentral:lncRNA from 1 species
AGUUUCUGCCUUGUCACUGCGGUGCCAGAAGGUUGACUAUAUGCCGCUCCCUGUGGUGAAACACAGGGGCUAGCACAGUGCCAUUAAAGGAGAGAAGAAAAUGGUGAUGCUCACUAAAGGGGACAUGGAAAC